GUGUGUGUGUGUGUGUGUGUGUUCGUUUCAAGCAUAGAACGCAACCCCCAAUGUCAGCAGCGGGGCCCGACAGCAUAUGCUGUUUUACUCCCCGCCGCAUCGUGCUGGUUCCGUACCCCUUUGAGCAGCAUCGAAUUCACUCAUCCGUCCACAAACACU